rnacentral:rRNA from 1 species
AGGGAUCAUUACCGAGUUUUCGCAAACUCCCCAACCCCAUGUGAACAUACCUAUCGUUGCUUCGGCGGGACCGCCCCGGCGCCCCGUGGCCCGGAACCAGGCGCCCGCCGGAGGCCCCAAACUCUUUGUUUCUACAGCGGUUACGCUCUGAGUGAACAACAAAUGAAUCAAAACUUUCAACAACGGAUCUCUUGGUUCUGGCAUCGAUGAAGAACGCAGCGAAAUGCGAUAAGUAAUGUGAAUUGCAGAAUUCAGUGAAUCAUCGAAUCUUUGAACGCACAUUGCGCCCGCCAGUACUCUGGCGGGCAUGCCUGUCUGAGCGUCAUUACAACCCUCGACCUCCCCCUCCAGAGGGGGCCCAAGGUCGGUGUUGGGGACUGGCCCGCCACCGCGCGGCCGCCAUCCCCCAAAUCCAGUGGCGGUCACGCCCGCACCUCCCCCAGCGUAGUAACUCACCUCGCUCCGGGAAGCGGCGCGGCCACGCCGUAAAACGCCCAACUUACCGAAAGUUGACCUCAGAUCAGGUAGGAAUACCCGCUGAACUUAA